UACGAAGGGUGCAAACGUUGCUCGGAAUUAUUGGGCGUAAAGAGCUCGUAGGCGGUUUGUCGCGUCGGCCGUGAAAACUUGGGGCUUAACCCCAAGCCUGCGGUCGAUACGGGCAGACUUGAGUUCGGCAGGGGAGACUGGAAUUCCUGGUGUAGCGGUGAAAUGCGCAGAUAUCAGGAGGAACACCGGUGGCGAAGGCGGGUCUCUGGGCCGAUACUGACGCUGAGGAGCGAAAGCGUGGGGAGCGAACAGG
rnacentral:rRNA from 1 species